rnacentral:misc_RNA from 1 species
GGUAGCAGUCUGAUUCUACAUGAAUAAAAAUUACCUCACAUUAAGUUUUGCAAUGCUUUUACUGUAUUUUUUACUUUAGAAUUUUUUAUUUGAUGUAAUCAAUGCAUUUAUUUAAGAUUGGCAUCAUGGUUGUGUUGCUGUCAAAAGUGGAACAAUGGUGUAGAAUUUAAUAGUUUAUAACCCUACUUUCUACCAUUAUCGAAGAUGAAAGUAAUAAGUGUUGAACGCAACGCCAAAUGUUUCUCAAUCCAGGUUUAAAGCAGAGGCUAUUGCCUCUAUGUGCAUUUUUUGGCACAUUCACUACUGUGAUGACAAUUCUCAUCUUCUCAACUGAUUUGAAAGGGAGGAGAUAUGGCAGGAUGCGUUUUAAUCUAACACAUUCAGAUUUAGAGAACGCUAUGCAAGAUAAUCAUCAAUUAAUUGAUCAUAUUAGAGGUAACUACAUGCGAACUCCUACAAAACUAGCUCAUGAGAUUGAUGCUGGAGAAUUCCAUAGUAAACGAAAGAACUAUAACGUGCUUCUUCAAUCGAAAGUAGCAGAAAUCUCAGGGAAGAAGAGUAAUGGUGUUUUUAUCGAGACUGGAGCCUACAGACAUGGAUCGGAAUCUGAAACGGAGUGGCUGGAGUUGGACCGUGGUUGGAGCGGCCUGCUUACCCAGCCCGACCCGAAUGACUACAAAGUCCUGCAACAAAGAUCACGCCAUCGUUCCAGGGCUCACAUCGCCAACGUCUGUCUCAGCCCUACUGCCAAUCCUAAGCAGAUACCUAUAACACUAUAUGAAUGGCUCUGACUGAAUCCACCGCAGAUAUCAGAAAGAGCUUCAUGUCUUUAUAUUUUCUUUCUCCAACAAUUUUCGUGGUUUUCUCCUGUUGUGAAUAUUUUACACAUAAUGUCCUUCAAGGAUACAGAUACAGGAUUUAUGCAUCUCUUCCUAUUUUGAACCUCAUCUCCAUACAUCUCUUCAUUGGACGUCCUCGGUCUCUCUUGCCUUCUGGCUUGUAUAGUUGAGCUCUAAUUUUGGUAACCUGUCUUCUUCUAGUGUAUCCAUCACAUGCUCGUACCAUUUCAAUCUACUCUGAGAUACAUUAAUUUUGUUUAUAGAGAAGACUUUAUAAGUUGCUUCCUUAUCUCAGUAUUUCUCAAACAAUUUUCUCUACUGCAACCAUAUAGGUUCUUCAGAGAAAUCUCAUUUCUUAUACUUGUGGUCUGCUCUCAGCUGGCCUUGAUAACACCCAAGCUUUACACCCAUUUGAAGUGUUAGUGAUGCUAUGGUUUUGUAGAAUUUUAGCCUGGUGCUCUGGCUAUCAAUACUCUUCAGAUUUCUGUGUAUGGUACCGCAUUUUAGAAGCGAUAUAUUUUGUCUCUUCCUUUCCUGUCAGAGAUAUCACAGCCCCAGGUGAAUGAAAUUUGAUAUCUUUUCCAGGAUACUACAUUUUACUUUUAAUAGUCAAUAUAUUGAUAUUUUAAAUGUUAAUAAUUUGAAAAAGUCUUUGCUCAAUCUCCUCUUGUGGUAUAAUUGGUGCUUCAUCAAAGAGUCACAGAUCAAUAAAGUACCUGACUUACAAGAUGCCAAUUUUUGCUGGAUGGGCUAAGGGACCGACCUGAGCUCUAUUCAACCUUCAACGAACGACAGUCGGACUAGAUAGAGUACAGUGUAGGCCUACCGAGAACAGUUCCUAUCUCUGUACUGUACCUGAUAAGAUAUUACACGUAUGAAUUAAAAUGGA